UUUAACCCGUUCUAACCUUUUGACAAUCAACUUUGAUGACCGUAAGCACGCUUUCGGUACCAGAGCAACCAUCAGAGAUCAGGCGGGUAACCCAGAGGGUAUCCGUUGCAAUCCUCAAUCCCGGUCAUCACAUCUACCAGAGUCUAUAACACUUCAGUACGAGACCGAAGCUACAUUCCUCCCGUCAUUUUAUGACGACCGAAAUUGAUGUUAACCUACCACCGGGAAAGUACACCCAAGGGGUACGAAUAUGCAGACCCGAAGGCCGUGAAGCUCCUCAAAACCCACA
rnacentral:rRNA from 1 species